CAUCUAAGUACCUGCAGGAAGAGAAAGAAAAUUCGAUUCCCUGAGUAGCGGCGAGCGAAACGGGAAAAGCCCAAACCAACAAGCUUGCUUGUUGGGGUUGUAGGACUCCAAUAUGGUCGUUCUUUCAGAUAGUCGAAUGACUUGGAAAAGUCAGUCAAAGAGGGUAAAAACCCCGUAGACGAAAUGUGGAAGACACCUAGGAGGAUCCUGAGUACGGCGGAACACGAGAAAUUCCGUCGGAAUCCGGGAGGACCAUCUCCCAAGGCUAAAUACUCCCUAGUGACCGAUAGUGAACCAGUACCGUGAGGGAAAGGUGAAAAGCACCCCGGAAGGGGAGUGAAAUAGAACCUGAAACCGUGUGCCUACAACAAGUCAAAGCCCGUUAAUGGGUGAUGGCGUGCCUUUUGUAGAAUGAACCGGCGAGUUACGAUUGCAUGCGAGGUUAAGUUGAAGAGACGGAGCCGCAGCGAAAGCGAGUCUGAAUAGGGCGUUUGAGUAUGUAGUCGUAGACCCGAAACCAUGUGAUCUACCCAUGUCCAGGUUGAAGGUGCGGUAAAACGCACUGGAGGACCGAACCCACGUACGUUGAAAAGUGCGGGGAUGAGGUGUGGGUAGCGGAGAAAUUCCAAACGAACUUGGAGAUAGCUGGUUCUCUCCGAAAUAGCUUUAGGGCUAGCCUCGGAAUUGAGAAUGAUGGAGGUAGAGCACUGUUUGGACUAGGGGCCCAUCUCGGGUUACCGAAUUCAGAUAAACUCCGAAUGCCAUUCAUUCAUAUCCGGGAGUCAGACUGUGAGUGAUAAGAUCCAUAGUCGAAAGGGAAACAGCCCAGACCACCAGCUAAGGUCCCAAAAUAUAUGUUAAGUGGAAAAGGAUGUGGGGUUGCACAGACAACUAGGAUGUUGGCUUAGAAGCAGCCACCAUUUAAAGAGUGCGUAAUAGCUCACUAGUCGAGUGACCCUGCGCCGAAAAUGUACCGGGGCUAAACAUAUUACCGAAGCUGUGGAGUACACCUUUAGGUGUAUUGGUAGGAGAGCGUUCUAAGGGCGUCGAAGGCAGAUCGUGAGGACUGCUGGAGCGCUUAGAAGUGAGAAUGCCGGUAUGAGUAGCGAAAGACAGGUGAGAAUCCUGUCCACCGAAUGACUAAGGUUUCCUGGGGAAGGCUCGUCCGCCCAGGGUUAGUCGGGACCUAAGCCGAGGCCGAUAGGCGUAGGCGAUGGAUAACAGGUUGAUAUUCCUGUACCCGUUGUUUUUGUUUGAGCAAUGGAGGGACGCAGGAGGCUAAGGAAUGCAGACGAUCGGAAAUGUCUGUCCAAGCAGUAAGUCUGAAGAGGAGUCAAAUGCUUCUUUUCUUAAGGACAAGCUGUGAUGGGGAGGGAAAUAAUAGUACCGAAGUUCCUGAUGUCACACUGCCGAGAAAAGCUUCUAGUGAGAAAACAGCGGCCCGUACCGCAAACCGACACAGGUAGUCGAGGAGAGAAUCCUAAGGUGAGCGAGAGAACUCUCGUUAAGGAACUCGGCAAAAUGACCCCGUAACUUCGGGAGAAGGGGUGCUGAUCAUACGAUCAGCCGCAGUGAAUAGGCCCAAGCGACUGUUUAUCAAAAACACAGGUCUCUGCAAAAUCGUAAGAUGAAGUAUAGGGGCUGACGCCUGCCCGGUGCUGGAAGGUUAAGAGGAGUGCUUAGCGCAAGCGAAGGUACGAAUUGAAGCCCCAGUAAACGGCGGCCGUAACUAUAACGGUCCUAAGGUAGCGAAAUUCCUUGUCGGGUAAGUUCCGACCCGCACGAAAGGCGUAACGAUUUGGGCACUGUCUCAACGAGAGACUCGGUGAAAUUUUAGUACCUGUGAAGAUGCAGGUUACCCGCGACAGGACGGAAAGACCCCAUGGAGCUUUACUGUAGUUUGAUAUUGAGUGUCUGUACCGCAUGUACAGGAUAGGUAGGAGCCGUAGAAAUCGGAACGCUAGUUUCGAUGGAGGCGCUGGUGGGAUACUACCCCUGCGUUAUGGCCACUCUAACCCGCACCACUGAUCGUGGUGGGAGACAGUGUCAGAUGGGCAGUUUGACUGGGGCGGUCGCCUCCUAAAAGGUAACGGAGGCGCCCAAAGGUUCCCUCAGAAUGGUUGGAAAUCAUUCGAAGAGUGUAAAGGCAGAAGGGAGCUUGACUGCGAGACCAACAAGUCGAGCAGGGACGAAAGUCGGGCUUAGUGAUCCGGUGGUUCCGCAUGGAAGGGCCAUCGCUCAACGGAUAAAAGCUACCCUGGGGAUAACAGGCUUAUCUCCCCCAAGAGUCCACAUCGACGGGGAGGUUUGGCACCUCGAUGUCGGCUCAUCACAUCCUGGGGCUGUAGUCGGUCCCAAGGGUUGGGCUGUUCGCCCAU
rnacentral:rRNA from 1 species